GGGGAAUAUUGGGCAAUGGGCGAAAGCCUGACCCAGCAACGCCGCGUGAAGGAAGAAGGUUUUCGGAUUGUAAACUUCUGUCCUCAGGGAAGAAAAAAAUGACGGUACCUGGGGAGGAAGCCCCGGCUAACUACGUGCCAGCAGCCGCGGUAAUACGUAGGGGGCGAGCGUUGUCCGGAAUGACUGGGCGUAAAGGGCGCGUAGACGGUUUUUUAAGUCUGGAGUGAAAGUCCUGCUUUCAAGGUGGGAAUUGCUUUGGAGACUGGAAGACUUGAGUGCGGAAGAGGUAAGUGGAAUUCCCAGUGUAGCGGUGAAAUGCGUAGAGAUUGGGAAGAACACCAGUGGCGAAGGCGACUUACUGGGCCGUAACUGACGUUGAGGCGCGAAAGCGUGGGGAGCGAAC
rnacentral:rRNA from 1 species